CCCUUAGAUGUCCUGGGCCGCACGCGCGCUACACUGAGUGUCUGAGAUACGAGUCUGCCUGGUCCGGCAAGGUCUAGGUAAUCGCUAAAAGACACAUCAUGCUUGGGAUAGAUUAUUGCAAAUAUUAAUCUUGAACGAGGAAUUCCUAGUAAGCGCAAGUCAACAGCUUGCGUUGAUUACGACCCUGCCCUUUGUACACACCGCCCGUCGCUACUACUGAUUGGAUGUUUAAGCGAGGUUCUCGAACUGCUAGCGACUUAGCUUCGGUGAGGUCGCAGUGUGGGAAGUGAACCUAGCUUUGGUGUCUAGAGGAAGUAAAAGUCGUAACA
rnacentral:rRNA from 1 species